UUGAACGCUGGCGGCAUGCCUUACACAUGCAAGUCGAACGGUAACGCGGGGCAACCUGGCGACGAGUGGCGAACGGGUGAGUAAUGCAUCGGAACGUGCCCAGUAGUGGGGGAUAGCCCGGCGAAAGCCGGAUUAAUACCGCAUACGACCUACGGGUGAAAGCGGGGACCGCAAGGCCUCGCGCUAUUGGAGCGGCCGAUGUCGGAUUAGCUAGUUGGUGGGGUAAAGGCCUACCAAGGCGACGAUCCGUAGCUG
rnacentral:rRNA from 1 species